GUAGGGAAUCUUCCACAAUGGACGAAAGUCUGAUGGAGCAACGCCGCGUGAGUGAAGAAGGGUUUCGGCUCGUAAAACUCUGUUGUUAAAGAAGAACAUAUCUGAGAGUAACUGUUCAGGUAUUGACGGUAUUUAACCAGAAAGCCACGGCUAAUUACGUGCCAGCAGCCGCGGUAAUACGUAGGUGGCAAGCGUUGUCCGGAUUUAUUGGGCGUAAAGCGAGCGCAGGCGGUUUUUUAAGUCUGAUGUGAAAGCCUUCGGCUCAACCGAAGAAGUGCAUCGGAAACUGGGAAACUUGAGUGCAGAAGAGGACAGUGGAACUCCAUGUGUAGCGGUGAAAUGCGUAGAUAUAUGGAAGAACACCAGUGGCGAAGGCGGCUGUCUGGUCUGUAACUGACGCUGAGGCUCGAAAGUAUGGGUAGCAAACAGGAUUAGAUACCCUGGUAGUCCAUACCGUAAACGAUGAAUGCUAAGUGUUGGAGGGUUUCCGCCCUUCAGUGCUGCAGCUAACGCAUUAAGCAUUCCGCCUGGGGAGUACGGCCGCAAGGCUGAAACUCAAAGGAAUUGACGGGGGCCCGCACAAGCGGUGGAGCAUGUGGUUUAAUUCGAAGCUACGCGAAGAACCUUACCAGGUCUUGACAUACUAUGCAAAUCUAAGAGAUUAGACGUUCCCUUCGGGGACAUGGAUACAGGUGGUGCAUGGUUGUCGUCAGCUCGUGUCGUGAGAUGUUGGGUUAAGUCCCGCAACGAGCGCAACCCUUAUUAUCAGUUGCCAGCAUUAAGUUGGGCACUCUGGUGAGACUGCCGGUGACAAACCGGAGGAAGGUGGGGAUGACGUCAAAUCAUCAUGCCCCUUAUGACCUGGGCUACACACGUGCUACAAUGGAUGGUACAACGAGUUGCGAACUCGCGAGAGUAAGCUAAUCUCUUAAAGCCAUUCUCAGUUCGGAUUGUAGGCUGCAACUCGCCUACAUGAAGUCGGAAUCGCUGUAAUCGCGGAUCAGCAUGCCGCGGUGAAUACGUUCCCGGGCCUUGUACACACCUCCCGUCUCACCGUGAGCGGUGUAUCGUCAUAAGGUCUCUGGGAAGUCGUAGCUG
rnacentral:rRNA from 1 species